UACGUAGGGUGCGAGCGUUAAUCGGAAUUACUGGGCGUAAAGCGUGCGCAGGCGGUUCGCCAAGUCAGGUGUGAAAUCCCCGGGCUUAACCUGGGAAUUGCGCUUGAAACUAGCGGGCUUGAGUGUGGCAGAGGGGGGUGGGAAUUCCAACGUGUAGCAGUUGAAAUGCGUAGAGAUGUGGAGGAACACCGAUGGCGAAGGCGGCCCCCUGGUUGGAUACUGACGCUGAGACGCGAAAGCGUGGGGAUCAAACAGG
rnacentral:rRNA from 1 species